CCCUUAGAUGUCCGGGGCCGCACGCGCGCUACACUGAAGGAAUCAGCGUGGCUUUCUCCCUGACCCGAAAGGGUUGGGAAACCCGUUGAAUCUCCUUCGUGAUAGGGAUUGGGGCUUGAAAUUGUUCCCCAUGAACGAGGAAUUCCCAGUAAGCGCGAGUCAUAAGCUCGCGUUGAUUACGUCCCUGCCCUUUGUACACACCGCCCGUCGCUCCUACCGAGGGGGUGAUCCGGUGAAUGAUUCGGACUUUGGCAUUGCUAUGUUUCAUAGCAUUGCUGGGGGAAGUCUUGUGAACCUUAUCACUUGGAGGAAGGAGAAGUCGUAACA
rnacentral:rRNA from 1 species